GGUGACAGCCCCGUACACAAAAAUGCACAUACUGUGAGCUCGAUGAGUAGGGCGGGACACGUGGUAUCCUGUCUGAAUAUGGGGGGACCAUCCUCCAAGGCUAAAUACUCCUGACUGACCGAUAGUGAACCAGUACCGUGAGGGAAAGGCGAAAAGAACCCCGGCGAGGGGAGUGAAAAAGAACCUGAAACCGUGUACGUACAAGCAGUGGGAGCACGCUUAGGCGUGUGACUGCGUACCUUUUGUAUAAUGGGUCAGCGACUUAUAUUCUGUAGCAAGGUUAACCGAAUAGGGGAGCCGAAGGGAAACCGAGUCUUAACUGGGCGUUAAGUUGCAGGGUAUAGACCCGAAACCCGGUGAUCUAGCCAUGGGCAGGUUGAAGGUUGGGUAACACUAACUGGAGGACCGAACCGACUAAUGUUGAAAAAUUAGCGGAUGACUUGUGGCUGGGGGUGAAAGGCCAAUCAAACCGGGAGAUAGCUGGUUCUCCCCGAAAGCUAUUUAGGUAGCGCCUCGUGAAUUCAUCUCCGGGGGUAGAGCACUGUUUCGGCAAGGGGGUCAUCCCGACUUACCAACCCGAUGCAAACUGCGAAUACCGGAGAAUGUUAUCACGGGAGACACACGGCGGGUGCUAACGUCCGUCGUGAAGAGGGAAACAACCCAGACCGCCAGCUAAGGUCCCAAAGUCAUGGUUAAGUGGGAAACGAUGUGGGAAGGCCCAGACAGCCAGGAUGUUGGCUUAGAAGCAGCCAUCAUUUAAAGAAAGCGUAAUAGCUCACUGGUCGAGUCGGCCUGCGCGGAAGAUGUAACGGGGCUAAACCAUGCAC
rnacentral:rRNA from 1 species